rnacentral:tRNA from 1 species
GGAGAAAUGGCUCAGUGGUUAAGAGCACUGACUGCUCUUCCAGAGGUCCUGUGUUCAAUCCCAGCACCCACA